GCCAUGUUCUUCAAUGGAUUCAUAUUAUUACAUUUCAAUUCUGUGCAUAACUUUGUCAUUGCUUGCACCAUGUGCUCCUCUCUUUUACCUUCUAUUUUGUCAGCGUGCCUAUGUGACCAGUGUAUUGAUCUUGAGCUUAUUUCUCAUUCAUUUGGUUUCAGUUUCAGUGAAAACAUUAUCACCGAUCUUGGUUUUGUGGAUAUAUUUCCAGCCUCACGAAUUCCGAAACAUAUGCAACAUCUUCUCAAGCCCAUUUAUCGCACCAUGUCUGGUGCAUCAAAGGAACCACUAGGAUCAAGAGAUAUGGUAAAAGAAAAGGGAUUCUGUGUGACAACAGAUCCGGGGACUCUAUCCUCUAUACUGAAAUGGGCAUCAGAUGCUGAGGUCAGGAAACAAUCAUACAUAUUAGGAAAUUCAGUUUGGUGUCCUUGAUAAGCUUAUUGCAGCUCGUCAUGAGCUUGCAGAGAUAAUGGGGUAUAAAUCUUACGCUCAAUUUGCAGUUCAUCCGAAUAUUGCAUCAUCACCAGAGGUUGUGAUGCCCUUUUUGCUUGAUUUAAGCAAGAUUGUUAGGCAUAAGGCUGAUAAGGAGUUCAAGGCAAUUAGGGAUUUCAAGAGGAAAAUAUGCAAUGAAGAUUGUGCAGACUUGGAGCCAUGGGAUGAAGCUUAUUUCACGGGAAUGAUGAAGUCUUCUACCUUCAACUUAGACUCUUUUGUAAGUUGAACCAUUGUUGUUUCAUGAACUUUACCUGCUUUCUUGUGGCAUAACUCCUUGUGUGACUUGAGCCUUAGAUGUCUUUUCAAACCAAACUUGAAAACCCAAACCUAAACCCAAUCCUGAACCCGAACCCGAUUUCCUAAACUUAAACCUUAACCUAUUCUCAAUUCCCUAAAGCUAUAACCUGUCACCUAAACCUAAACCUAUAACCUAAACAUGUAACCUUAACCUAAACGUAAAACCUAAACCUAAACCUAUAACCUAUAACAUUAACAUAAACUUAUAACCUAAACCUAUAUAAUCUACAAAAUUAACCUAAACU